AAGGAAGGAAGGAAGGAAGGAAGGAAGGGGGAGCCGGUGCUGAGGCGGCGGGCAGUUCCCCUCCCUUCCCUCGCCGCAGACGGAGCGGGCGAGCCGCAGGAGAGGCGGCCGUCCGCGCUAGGGAGGCGAGGCGCGGUGAGGCGAGGCGCGGGGCCGUUGGUGCCUCACGCCGCUGAGGGAAGAAGGAGAGGAAGAUCAGUGAUGAGCACUUUUGAAAAUGCCACCUUCCCCAAGGUAGAGAUGCUGUUGAUGUGUGAUUUUACACGAAAGAAAACUGCAUUUGAUGCCAUCUGCAAUCCUGGACCAAACCCAAACUGUAACUCAAACUGAAAUGGUUGUUGUUCUAGUACUGGGUCAAAUACAAAACUGCCUUUAGCAGCCUGCUCUCAGGAGAGAUUCUCUUAGAAUGAGGUAGUCAGGAGACUGAAUUACUGCUCACCAUCUUACAAGGUGUUUCAAGGUCAAAGUUAGGAAUAUAAGUGGAAAAUGGAAUAAUGAACUGUUGAUUUGAGGUUGUUGGAGAUGACAACUUAUUUAGUUGGGAGUUAUUUAGAUGGAAAAAUAUACCCUCAAAAUUAUUUUAACUAGGUAGGUAGGCACAGGGCUCAUCAUUUUCUGGAUGAGCCUUUUGCUUCAGAGUGCAGACUAGAAUCAAAUUGAAAGUGUCAGAGUCCACCUCUCUAGCUGAGCAGGUCAAACAAGUCCUACUUAAUCCAGCCUGAUGCUCAUUCUUCAUGAUCUACAAGAUUAUUAUAAACUAAUCUGUUAGUCAUUGAAAAAUCAGCUAAUGUUAUUUCUGGCCAGACCAGUCUUGCUUCCUGUAGAAUAAAGGCUGUGUAGAGCAAAAAUGAAAUAGUCAUGCAAUACAUUAUUGAAAAUCUAGGACUUGUCUUUGGAGUGUACAGGAGAAAUUUAAAAUGGUAACCUAAACCUGCUGGUUUUCAUACUGUGCUUGCUUCUUUGUUUGUGCAGCAGAUGAUAGUUUUUUGUGGUGGUGUAAGGAUUCAGAGUAGAAUUCAGCUGUCUAAAGCUUUACCUCAUGUUUACACUGUUUACUCCAUAGCAGCUAGCAUCAGUGUUGUUUGGACUUGCCAGCACUGGGUAAGGGAAAUAGAGUGUACAAACAAGGCUUAACUAGGCUUACUAAUUGUACCUAAAAUAUCUUUCAGAAAACUACUUAAAAGUCUAUGUGAUAAAAGAUGUUAGAGAGAGAUUUAUGUCCAAACAAUGUUGUAAAGCAGUUCAGUGAGAGAGCAGAUGUUUGGAAACAACUGUUUUCAGUAGGCAAUGAUUACUACGUAUUUUUAUUUGUGUCUUUCUAUGUCAUUGAUGGCUGUUGAUAUAAAAUGUACUCUCUCAUAGUAAGUUCAAAGACAACCACCUACCUACUAAUUUUGUGAUAUGCAACAUCUACUGUUAAUCCUCCACAUAGCCUUUCCUUUGUAGUCAUCUCCUGCAUGAAACUAUAUUUAUUGGAAUCUGUGCAGACCUUGAUCCUGAACUAACUUCAAUGAAGCCAUCAUGUACCUCAAAAUAAGCUGAACAGAUCUCAGUGCAACCCUCCUAUACCUCAAAAAGAUCAUUCUUAUGCUCUCAGAAUGAAUUAUUCUACACUGUUAACUUCAAGAAAGUAAUUCUAAGUCACCAAGAUCCUGAUAACUUUUUAUUUAUAAUGCUUCACGAUGAAACUAUAAAAGUUCUACCAGAAUGGAAGAUUUUGUGAUGAACGGCAAGUACUUGAGGAUUUCUGUCAUGCUGCCUGGAAACUGCAAUUCGUGCUCCCCAAACAGGUCUGCUGGGAUCCCUUUAGCAACCUGGAGCUCUCGGGUGCCUCCACAUCACUUAUGACAGCAGCAGUUCAGCAGUGUGGAGGACCAUGGAACAUCAAGCAUUUCCUGGCCACAGGCCUCCUCCAGUGGCUGGAGUGGUGGUGAAUUUCUGCAAGCGCAACACAAUCCACCACAUCGGCAUCACUGUAGACCCAGUGAAGCUUCUGAAUUCAUGGAAGUGUAUGGAUGAGUGCAGCUAUCUGAUCAAGAAGGUAUUUUAUAAGUCACAGGUGAAAUGACCAU